rnacentral:rRNA from 1 species
UACGGGGGGGCAAGCGUUGUUCGGAAUUACUGGGCGUAAAGGCUCGUAGGCGGCCAACUAAGUCGGACGUGAAAUCCCUCGGCUUAACCGGGGAACUGCGUCCGAUACUGGAUGGCUUGAGUUCGGGAGAGGGAUGCGGAAUUCCAGGUGUAGCGGUGAAAUGUGUAGAGAUCGGGAGGAACACCGGUGGCGAAGGCGGAUCUCUGGGCAAUUCCUGACGCUGAGGCGCGAAAGCGUGGGAGCAAACGGG